UACGAAGGGGGCUAGCGUUGUUCGGAAUUACUGGGCGUAAAGCGCACGUAGGCGGCUAUGUAAGUCAGGGGUGAAAUCCCGGGGCUCAACCUCGGAACUGCCUUUGAUACUGCAAAUCUUGAGUCCGGAAGAGGUGAGUGGAAUUCCUAGUGUAGAGGUGAAAUUCGUAGAUAUUAGGAAGAACACCAGUGGCGAAGGCGGCUCACUGGUCCGGUACUGACGCUGAGGUGCGAAAGCGUGGGGAGCAAACAGG
rnacentral:rRNA from 1 species